GACAGAGGGUGCAAACGUUGCUCGGAAUCACUGGGCGUAAAGGGCGCGUAGGCGGGAAUGUAAGUCGGGCGUGAAAUCCCCAGGCUCAACCUGGGAACUGCACUCGAAACUGCGUUUCUUGAGUAUCGGAGAGGAAAGCGGAAUUCCUGGUGUAGAGGUGAAAUUCGUAGAUAUCAGGAGGAACACCAGUGGCGAAGGCGGCUUUCCGGACGGUAACUGACGCUGAGGCGCGAAAGCGUGGGGAGCAAACAGG
rnacentral:rRNA from 1 species